rnacentral:rRNA from 1 species
CCUACGGGAGGCAGCAGUGGGGAAUAUUGCACAAUGGGGGCAACCCUGAUGCAGCGACGCCGCGUGAGUGAAGAAGUAAUUCGUUAUGGUAAGCUCCUUCAGCAGGGCAGAAAAUGACGGUACCUGAGUCAGAAUCCCCGGCUAACUACGGGCCAGCAGACGCGGUAAUACGUAGGGGGCAAGCGUUAUCCGGAUUUACUGGGUGUAAAGGGAGCGUAGACGGCAGUGCAAGUCUGGAGUGAAAGGCGGGGGCUCAACCCCCGGACUGCUCUGGAGACUGUACGGCUGGAGUGCAGGAGAGGUAAGUGGAAUUCGUGGUGUAGCGGUGAAAUGCGUAGAUAUUAGGAGGAACACCAGUGGCGAAGGCGGCUUACUGGACUGUAACUGACGUUGAGGCUCGAAAGCGUGGGGAGCAAACAGGAUUAGAUACCCUUGUAGUC